rnacentral:rRNA from 1 species
GGACGAACGCUGGCGGCGUAGCCUAACACAUGCAAGUCGAGCGAGGAGAUCCUUCGGGAUGAGUCCUAGCGGCGGACGGGUGAGUAACACGUGGGCGAACCUGCCUCAUAGAGAGGAAUAGCCUUCCGAAAGGGAGAUUAAUACCUCAUAACAUUGCAGUUUCGCAUGGAACAGCAAUUAAAGGAGUAAUCCGCUAUGAGAUGGGCCCGCGGCGCAUUAGCUAGUUGGUGAGGUAACGGCUCACCAAGGCGACGAUGCGUAGCCGACCUGAGAGGGUGAUCGGCCACAUUGGGACUGAGACACGGCCCAGACUCCUACGGGAGGCAGCAGUGGGGAAUAUUGCACAAUGGGGGAAACCCUGAUGCCAGCAACGCCGCGUGAGUGAUGACGGCCUUCGGGUUGUAAAGCUCUGUCUUCAGGGACGAUAAUGACGGUACCUGAGGAGGAAGCCACGGCUAACUACGUGCCAGCCGCCGC